rnacentral:tRNA from 1 species
CCUGGUGGCUCAGAUGGUAAAGCGUCUGCCUACAAUGCAGGAGACCAGGGUUCGAUCCCUGGGUUAGGA